rnacentral:rRNA from 1 species
GUGAGGAAUAUUGGUCAAUGGACGGAAGUCUGAACCAGCCAUGCCGCGUGCAGGAAUAAGGUCCUAUGGAUUGUAAACUGCUUUUAUUCGGGAAUAAACCUCUUUACGUGUAGGGAGCUGAAGGUACCGAAGGAAUAAGCACCGGCUAACUCCGUGUCAGCAGCCGCGGUAAUAUGGAGGGUGCAAGCGUUAUCCGGAAUCAUUGGGUUUAAAGGGUCCGCAGGCGGGCUAUCAAGUCAGAGGUGAAAUCCCACAGCUUAACUGUGGAACUGCCUUUGAAACUGAUGGUCUUGAAUUAAGUGGGCGUUGGCGGAAUAUGACAUGUAGCGGUGAAAUGCAUAGAUAUGUCAUGGAACACCGAAAGCGAAGGCAGCUAACGAUACUUAUAUUGACGCUCAUGGACGAAAGCGUGGGUAGCGAACAGGAUUAGAAACCCUGGUAGUCC